rnacentral:rRNA from 1 species
GAUGAACGCUAGCGGGAGGCUUAACACAUGCAAGUCGAGGGGUAACAUGGGGUAGCAAUACUCUGAUGACGACCGGCGUACGGGUGAGUAACGCGUAUGCAACCUGCCCUGUACUGGGGGAUAGCCCGGAGAAAUUCGGAUUAAUACCCCAUAAAGAUAUUUUGAGGCAUCUUAGGAUAUUUAAAGUUUCGGCGGUACGGGAUGGGCAUGCGUAACAUUAGCUUGUUGGUAGGGUAACGGCCUACCAAGGCGACGAUGUUUAGGGGUCCUGAGAGGGUGAUCCCCCACACUGGUACUGAGACACGGACCAGACUCCUACGGGUGGCUG